UACGAAGGGGGCAAGCGUUGUUCGGAAUUACUGGGCGUAAAGGGCGUGCAGGCGGUCGACUAAGUCUGGCGUGAAAGCUCUCGGCUAAACCGGGAGAGGUCGUUGGAUACUGGUUGACUAGAGGACGGUAGAGGCGUGUGGAAUUCCGGGUGUAGUGGUGAAAUGCGUAGAGAUCCGGAGGAACACCAGUGGCGAAGGCGACACGCUGGGCCGUACCUGACACUGAUGCGCGACAGCAUGGGGAGCAACAGGG
rnacentral:rRNA from 1 species